CAAGUUCUUCUCCUUCCUCCUUCCCAGCGCUAGCUCCUUGGCUCCAAGGGAGAGCUUGUUAUUCUUCACCAUUUUCUUGCAUGCAAGAAUCAUUUUCACUCAAUAAAUGUAUGGGGAUUCUGAAUUUAGCCUUUGUUUAUGUUGAUUCUUAACUUUAGAUCCUUGAAAUUCAGUUACAAAAUUUUGUUCUAAGUAGGAAAUGAAUCCAUGGUUGUUUGGUGUCUUCCUUGAAUUCAAAACCUUCAAUUUUACCAAAAGAAGUGUGGAUAGCUUCCAAAUUUCGUUUUUCAUGUAGGAACCUUGAUAAUCCAUAAGUUUUGAUUCUAAAAUUUCAAGGUUUGAUGGAAAUCAAAGAGAACCACAUCCUAGUAACAUCAAGUAAUAAAUUCAAUGACUUAGGUGUUACUAGAUGUUGUGGUGUGUUUAUAACAUAUUAAAACUGAAAAUAAAGCCCUUGCAUGUACUAUAAACUUUUUUAGCAAUCUGUAUUCAUGAUUUUAAGUUCAUUCUAAUGAUUAAAGUUUGAAUUUUGAAGGCUAAGAAGCCAUGCAAAUAGCCCCAAAGUACUUGAGAGUUAAGGAAACUCAUGAACCUUGUUUCUUUGAUAAAAUGAGUCUCCAAUGUCUAAAUUUAUCAUAUGACCUAUCCAUGUGUUAAUCUUUUAAAUUCCUAGCUUAGUAUCAGUCUGUUAUAAGGAUAGGAAUUCGAAUUCCGCACUGAUUGAGGGUAAACACAAAAACAGUCCCUAGUUGGCACUCCAAGCUAUUCUAUUUUGGCCUACAUGUGUACUAUUAAGGAAAUAACUUAUGUGCUCUAGUCGGUAAAAAUACAUGUGUACUAUUUUGUUUAUUUUAAAAAAUAUUUUUAUAGAAAAUGAUGAAACAUGACACAUGUCAUUAUUUCACUUGCACGAGGAGAUAACUUAUCUCCUUAUACCAGGAGAUACUCCACUCUCUAUUUCAAAUAACCUUGAGACUAGCAAAUUAUGAGUUUUUAUGAACCCAAACCUGUAUUGGUAUUCUGUUUGAUGAAGAUGAAGUGUUGGUCAUGAAUUUUUAGAGGUCUCAUGACCAAAUUAUAAAAAUAGUUUUUCAACCCUUUGUGACUAAAAACUCGGGGAAAACCUUUCGGGUCCCAGAACUCUUAAAUACUGAUUCUGAUUAUCAAAGUGAAAUUCAAAAUAUCACCUAUACACUUUAUAGGUUCUGUGAGUAUAUUUCUAAGUCCACUUGGUGGGUUUAUGAAUUGCUUCCAUGAACCACAAUGAUAACCGAAGGUUAUAUGCUUCGCUAGAGUUUUAACUUGCACUUAAUGAUUUCAAAAGUACUAGGAGUCAUUAUUAACCCUAGUUUGUACCUAUAUACAUGUGUCUAUGUUAUGACUUGUCAACUUCUAGCUUACACUUUAAAUUUCAAGCAUAAGUCGUUACUCUGGAUACAACCGAGGCCACCCGAGCCAAAUUUUUGACUUACGAGCCAAAUCGUGCUUGUAAGAUUUUUAUCGUACCCGAUCAAAAUUCUAUAUAUCUAAAUGAAAUAUUUAGAUGCACUCUAAUUUCCAGAGCCUUGUUAAGGAAAUUUCUAAGUGAACUCGAGUAAAAAUUAGAAUACCAAGAUUAAUCGUUUAUGUUAUGAUCAGGUACUCGACAAUCAUGCAAACCGCGACUGGGAAAUAUUAAACCCGAUAAAGACAAGUGUAUGGAGAUAUGUGCUUUCAUGUAUGAGCUUAGAAAUGAUUCCAAAGAUAAUCGCGGAUUUCUAAGCUAGGCAUAUGACAGAUAUAGUUCAAUACUAUUUCUGUGGUCGCGAGU
rnacentral:lncRNA from 1 species